rnacentral:rRNA from 1 species
UACGUAGGGGGCAAGCGUUGUCCGGAAUCACUGGGCGUAAAGCGCGCGCAGGCGGCUGUCUACGUCCGGGGUGAAAGCCCAGAGCUCAACUCUGGGAUUGCCUUGGAUACGGGAUAGCUUGAGGAUCGGAGAGGCAAGGGGAAUUCCACGUGUAGCGGUGAAAUGCGUAGAGAUGUGGAGGAACACCUGUGGCGAAGGCGCCUUGCUGGCCGAUUUCUGACGCCGAGGCGCGAAAGCGUGGGGAGCAAACAGG